rnacentral:misc_RNA from 1 species
UGGCUCUCGCACCGAUGAAGAACGCAGCGAAAUGCGAUAUGUAAUGUGAAUUGCAGAAUUCAGUGAAUCAUCGAAUCUUUGAACGCACCUUGCACCCUUUGGUAUUCCGAAGGGUACACCCGCUUGAGUGUCGUUGUAAUCUCACUCCACCGACUAUUUGUUGAUGGAUGUGGACCUGGACUCUGUUGUGUUACUACAACUGGUCUGAAAUGCAUGAGUGCACCCUGCUAUUGCAGCGUUCUCAGUGUGAUAAACAUCUUCACUGGACCAAGUCCCUUGGGACAUGCAGCAUUGUGGGCUCUGUGCCGGCAAACUGUCUUUGGGCAAUUUUGACAAUUUGACCUCAGAUCGGGUGGGACUACCCGCUGA